CCGUACCUAUUCAGCCACCUAGUGCAGAUCUUCGAUUUGAAGCCAACACGUCUAUGUCAUCGGUUCUGCUGCUGCCGUUGGAACACGACCAGUCAGUUUCCACACCAAACGAGCAAAAAUCAACAGUUGGCCUACAUCAAACACCGGAUAAGCGGAAAACUGCAUCACCAUCCACAUCUCUAUCUCCC